rnacentral:sRNA from 1 species
AAAAUCGUAACAAGGUUUCCGUAGGUGAACCUGCGGAAGGAUCAUUACCGAGUGCGGGCCCUCGCGGCCCAACCUCCCACCCUUGUCUCUAUACACCUGUUGCUUUGGCGGGCCCACCGGGGCCACCUGGUCGCCGGGGGACGCACGUCUCCGGGCCCGCGCCCGCCGAAGCGCUCUGUGAACCCUGAUGAAGAUGGGCCGUCUGAGUACUGUGAAAAUUGUCAAAACUUUCAACAAUGGAUCUCUUGGUUCCGGCAUCGAUGAAGAACGCAGCGAAAUGCGAUAAGUAAUGUGAAUUGCAGAAUUCCGUGAAUCAUCGAAUCUUUGAACGCACAUUGCGCCCCCUGGCAUUCCGGGGGGCAUGCCUGUCCGAGCGUCAUUUCUGCCCUCAAGCACGGCUUGUGUGUUGGGUGUGGUCCCCCCGGGGACCUGCCCGAAAGGCAGCGGCGACGUCCGUCUGGUCCUCGAGCGUAUGGGGCUCUGUCACUCGCUCGGGAAGGACCUGCGGGGGUUGGUCACCACCAUGUUUUUACCACGGUUGACCUCGGAUCAGGUAGGAGUUACCCGCUGAACUUAAGCAUAUCAAUAAGCG